GAACGGCGACCGGCCUUCGUAGGGCACGCCGGGAGCUGUAGUCCAAUGGCUCUGCUCACGAGCAUGCGCAGCGGGUGGACGGGCGCCGGGGGAUCCAGGCAUUGACUUCCGGACCCGCGGCUGAGCGACUUGGUGGCUUCUUCACGCCGCCGCGGAGUCUCCCGACCCUCGCGCCCCGGACGAUCAGGGCAUUAACGCCGAGCGAGACGCGCACCAGGCGGCUCCCACCUCGUCCUGCUUUCCACCGAGCGCCCGGGUCUUCGCUAGAGUGAAACACCAGAGCAGCGUUCUCAAACCAACUACAGACGACACGUUAGGGGUCAAGAGGAGCACAGGCUCCGUCUUUGCAGGGAAUUACGAUAGCAUUUACUGAGUUAGUCAUCAGGAUAGGGUGCGGGACGGAGAAAAUCUGCGGCAUGGCAACAUCUUCGGGGGCUGGACUUGGCUGCCGAGGAGCUGUGCCUUGUGAGGCUCCUAAAUGCUACUAGUAGCGCCUUCCACUUCUCUAUCUACAGCCUCUUGGGGCGCAGUAUGUGUAAAAAAGAUUAUUAAGUGAAGGAAGUUCAAGUUCUUUGGAAGAAGAGCAACCUUGAUCCAUUUUUUUUUAAGUUUUUUUUUUUUUUUUUUUUCUUCCUGUGAACAGGUUCACUCCUUUGGUGGAGUACUGGAGUAUUGAGUCACACAAUUACAUCCUCCAGAUUCAGCAAUUCCUAGGAAAUUUGGAACUUCUCCCACUCCACCUAAAGACUUUCACUGGUGUUCAGGAGACUGGCUUCCCCAUGAUGUGAGAAGAAAUGGAAUCUGAUCUCCAGGGUAGAAGUGGCUACCAGUCAGCCAGUUUGCUGAAGCAAAUCAUGGCUGCACCAAGGAGUCCCCAGGCAUACCUAUUCCCAUGCAAGAACUGCUCACAGGGACAGAAAUCAACCUUUCACAGCAACAACCCCGACCCUGAAGCUUCCCGCCAGCACUUCAGGCAGUUCUGCUACCAGGAGGUAGCUGGCCCCCAUGAAGCUUUCAGCAAGCUCUGGGAACUCUGUUGUCAGUGGCUAAGGCCUAAGAUACAUUCAAAAGAGCAAAUGCUGGAGCUGCUGGUUUUGGAGCAGUUUCUGACCAUCUUGCUGGAGGAGAUCCAGACCUGGGUGAAGGAGCAACAUCCAGAAAAUGGUGAAUAAGCUAUGGCUCUGGUUGAGGAUAUACAGACUGGGUCUGGACAACAGGUGAAAAGAGACAUUCAGAACCUGGUGAGUUCAGUAAUGAAGAAUUGAGUGAGAAACACAGGAAUCUGGUUAGUGGAGAGAGAGCCCAGUGGAGAAAUGCACAGUAGCCCUCCACCACCCACCAGAAACUAUGCGCUACCUAGGGUGGUCCCGUGUUCUGUAUCUGUGGGGAGAAUUUCUCAUUCGCUGCAAUAAUGUAGACACUGAUAAAUUCAGUGAAUGUUUAGGGUCCCUAAUACAGAUGUAAAAGCUCAGAUAGCUCCAACAGAAGGUCAGGGAAUGGCCAACUAUCCCUCACUCAGGAGUAGGGGAAUGAGUUGGUGAAUUAAAACCCAGAGUCUCCUGCU